rnacentral:tRNA from 1 species
UGUUCUGUGGCUUAGUUGACUCAAGCGCCGGUCUAGUGAAUACAGAGUCGUGGGUUCGAAUCCCACCAGAACAU